rnacentral:rRNA from 1 species
GAAGUCUAGUAUGUGCGCGAGUCAUUGAGUGGAAAACUUAUAUGGCGUAAUGAAAGUAAAGGUCGCUUUGCGUGGCUGAUAUGUGAUCCGUGGCUCGUCCGCGGCGCAACAUAGCCCCAUGCUGAUUGCUUGCAAUGGUGUGGCGGUAGAGCGUACAUACUGGGACCCGAAAGAUGGUGAACUAUGCUUGAGCAGGACGAAGUCAGAGGAAACUCUGAUGGAGGUCCGUAGCGGUUCUGACGUGCAAAUCGAUCGUCGGACUUGAGUAUAGGGGCGAAAGACUAAUC